GCAGGGAGUCCCUUUCUGAUUGGUGUGUAUUUGGCUCCAUAUUUGGGCAUCGUCUUCAUUGGCCUCCGAAUUCAAAAUGGCAGAAAACAAGGAAAGUAAAAGCGGUUACGAUGUUGGUUUUUUCUAUUAUGAUUGGGCUCUAUCCCGAUACAGAUGGAUGGAUGGUAAUUGUUUUACUAAAGUAAGUGGCUUUGAGCCUGUCAAGAACAUGGCUUGUUCUUCGUCUGAAGUCAAAGCACAGAAGGAGAUGGUGAAAGAUGAUCCUCAAUCAUCAGGUUCUCAAGAUAAUCAAUCUCUUGAGAGGAAAGAACCUAUAGGUGCAGAAAUGAAGAAGCCAUUACAAGACAAAGAUGUUAAUCAGUUACCUCCAAGAAGCAGGAUAUCCUUUAGAAGACAUUCCCAAGAGGAUUUACAUACUCAAGUUAUUAUAUCAAGAAAAGGAGCAACAGUUGUUAAAAGUCAAAGUCUGUGCUCCUUACAACCACAAAAUGAGGCUCAAGAGAUUGAAAGAGGUCAUGGCACCAUGAUCAAUGUCUUACAAACAAGACUGCUCAGGUUACGGGCUGCACAAACACUCUGGCAUAAGGACACAAAUGCUUUAAUUGAGUAUCUUCUACGACUGAAAGAUGACUCUGUCGUGGUUGACAUUAUGCCAUUUCUAACAAGCAGAGUACGUGAGGUAUCACCUGAAGGGCAUGCCUUGUCCAUGGGAGCCUGUUUGGAAAUGUUACCAGCACUUGAAAGACUCUUAACAUCUAAAUUUGAAGAUUACAUUAUUGCUGGACUGAACAUGAUCAGGGAGAUGAUUAAACGUUGGUGGAUGCAGUUAAAAGCUGCAACAAAUAAAGGUAUUGAACCAGAGUGGCAGAGAUGUAGCAGGAGUGUGAGUGGCUUGUAUAUGGCAAUAGUUUCUCUAUCCACCAUUAUCGUCAAACUAUCCAAGAGGAAGGGACGAGUGGGUGAGAAAGCCCUUAUGAAAGCUGGUAGAGGUAUUUAUGACUGUGGUGAUGUAUCGGUCACAACAGCACGGUCGGUGAGAUCAAAGAAUUGAUACAAGAAAGCCAGAAAGUGGGAUCGUGUUAACUUAGCAUAUGAUGGAAAUUAAGCUCGUGGCUUUUUCUCUUGGCAAGAGAAUUUGGUGUUUUCUACUCACUUUCUCUCCUUGUGGAGUCGAAGUUCGACCAGAGGGAAAAUUUCUUCAGAGAUGGUAUGCAAGUCAACCUACAUGUACGAUCGAGUAAAUAUACUCCUAAAUAUUUUAGUGAUCAUGGAUGGACAAGUCCAAGAGACUGUGUAGAUCUACUUUUUGCAAGAGAGAGAUGCUGUCCAAUUGUGUCAAACAUAAGCUAGACGCAUGAUGGCUGUGAUGUAGAUUUUUUUUUACUUCAAGAAAUGAGAGAUUUAAACAAAUUGAAAAUAUGAAUUAUGGAGAAGAGAUUGCUUGUAGAAUUACUGUCUUAGUUAAAAAGGCAAAUUAACAUAAUGAACUUGAUACCUGUCAACAUAAGUAUGUUCUGUAAUCAUUGCAAAAAUCUGUUAGAAGAGAGGUAUCUGCAAUCCUUUUGAAUAUUACUGCACUGCUAGUGAGAUUAGCCGAACAAUUACCAAGAUAUAUAGGAAUAAAUUACCGUGAUUUAUGUUUCCAAGAAAGAGAAUUGUUAUUUUACCUGCAUACACUACAAUAUGUAGUACCCUUAUUAUUGAUUGCACCAAGCUAGGGGGGGGGGGGGGUUCUCCCUAUAGUUGACUAAAGGUGCCCUUUUUUCAGGCUGGAGAUAUUAUAAGACUCAACAGGACAGGGAUUUCAAACAUGAAUUGAUUAUUUAUCCAAGAAAUAAGACAUAGUGGGGCCACAUUAGGUUUGUGAAAGGGGUUUCAAGCUAGGAGCUACAUGUAUAUGAAAGAGAAGCCUUUCCUGUCAAAAACACUAUGUAAAAUGGAUAGGGUUUUUACCUUGGGGCAGAGCAUCCUGGUAUAAAAGUUUGUUACUUCCCUUCCACCUCCCCAUGGACAUAGUUAUAUAGCAAAAAAACUUAGAAAUUGUAAAUAAAAACAUCCCCUUCACUGUGGGUUCAAGAUUGAAACAAAACUGUCUGAAAUUCUAAUAAUAUUGAAGGAAAUACUUUUCUUUCUAUAGAUUUCCCAUUUACCAGCAAGCUAAAAUCAAAUUGUUUAUAUUUGACAUAGCUUAAAGUAAACAAGAUUUUGCCAAUAUCCUUGUCUCACUUAAGUGAAAUUCGGGCAAAAUACUCUUGACAGUCUUGGCAUUCUCAAGUUGAUUGUCUAAAAGAAAUGUUAAAAUCAUGUGUUACAAUUUUUGCACAAUUGUUAUACUCAGUUGUUUCGUAAUGUUAACUGAACAAGGAUCAUAACCAAUUUACCUUGACCCAAAAUGUACUGCCGACUCCCUAAUAUUAUACAUAUAUUAUAACAAACGUCAGUGGCUAGGUGUCAAUUUUGGACUGAGUGGUGAAUAUUGUGAAAUCUCAUUUAAUGAUUUCAUUUUGAAACACUGUUGUUAUUCUUUGACACUACAUCAUGUCAUG
rnacentral:misc_RNA from 1 species